GAUGGGGCAGCCACAGCUUCUCCGGGCAACCUGUGCCAAGGCCUCAGCACCCUCGCAGGGAAGAACUUCUGCCUUAUACCCAACCUGAACCUCCCCUGUUCAAGUUUGAACCCAUCAUCCCUUGUCCUAUCG